rnacentral:sRNA from 1 species
CUUUAGCCCUGAUGGCAGCGGUUAUCCUAUUGCAUUUGCGCUAAGCAAAUGCAAUAGAUAGUAGCGAACAGCAGGAAACCAU